CUUUAAUGGAGAGUUUGAUCCUGGCUCAGGACGAACGCUGGCGGCGUGCCUAAUACAUGCAAGUCGAGCGCACAGAAG
rnacentral:rRNA from 1 species